AGAAAAGAUGCUGCGCAGUUAGACAAAUUUCCAUUUUCAGUGAGGUGAAAAUGCAAAGUUAGUUUGCAUUGGAGAACCAGUUUCCACCUCUUGCUGUGAGGCUUAAGGAAUAUUUCAUAUUUUCCUCUGGCAGGUAGUGGUGAAGACACCAUACAGUAAUGGGUGUUUUUAAAGCUUGUGUUACAUAAUUUUGAAAAUUCUACUGCAUCUGACUUACCUUCAGAAGCCAUUAAGCAUGGCAGUAACAUGUGAUCCUUCACAACAAGGGAGCAGGCAGAAGGCUGUAUUUUCUUCACAGUAAACACUUUGAAUGUGGGUAUUGCAAAGUGUCACCAACCAAAAUCAGUGUUCAUUUUUAAAUAUUGGGAUUAAACUGAAAUACUGCCUCUUAAAACAAGAGAUAGCCACUUAGAGAUUAUGUUGACAGUCAUUCAGUACCUUAAUGGCAACCUGCUAUUUUAGUAUCAGUAGAUCAGUAUCUUAAUGGCAUGUCUUUUCAUUCUAGCAGGAGAGCUUUCCUGUUUUUACAUUGCCCCAUUCACCAUUUUGCUGCAAAACGAUCUGGACGAUCUCUGCUGGUGCACAGCCCUUUCAGACACAGAAGUAGUGGUACCUGAGAGUGAUGGAAAACUUACCAUAGAGGUUCUACUCUUGCUUUCUUAAGAAAUGGCUCUUUGGAACCGUCAUCGGGCAGGAUAUGUGUCUACAAGGUAACAACAGAUACUGCAGGAGCAGUCCCAUCAGUUUUCAGCAUGGCUACUGGUAAGGAAUUAAACGUCUACAGGACAGAGAGCUGUGAAAUCUAACUGUAACUAGACUGGGAUCUCUGUGCUGAAAUGUAUUGUGCACAGGCAGGCAAACAAACUAAAUUAAAUUCUUGUUGACAGAGCUUUGUGAGAGAAAGGAAAUGCUCCAGGAACAAAGCCUGAGGCUAGAUUAACGCUUCAGAAGAGCAAAAACAGGGCUGUGGUGCUAGCUGGUAAGCACUGACGGUCUAAACUCGUUCUGCAGCUGAACGUUUUGUUCAGGAACACUGAGGGAACAGCCUUUUUUGCAGGCUUUCUUCACGACAGGCUCAGCGGUCGGUGCAGAGCUUCCUCUUCGCUUUGAGUAGCGCUGCCUGCCCAGCCGGGACAACAGCUGUGCGCAGCCCCAGGGACGCUGCCUGCCCGCCUCGGUCCCGCCGCUCUUCAGCCCGUGCGGGAGGAGCCGCCUGCAGGAGCUGCGAGCUGCACACGCACACAGAGCAGUGAUCCCGUGUUUACCUCUGCCUAAACGAGGCUGCCUUUCAUGUCGGGGAUCGCACUUGAGAAAU